UACCCAGCUCGGGGGCAUUACGCCAGGGUGCCUGGCUUCCCCCGCAGGCCCUGGCAUCCCUCUGGGUACCAGGAUGCCGAGGUGGGGACACAGGAUGCAGAGGGGCUCUGGCCUGCUGAGUGGAGUCAGUUCAGCCCAUUCCCGUCCACCACCUGGAAUGUGGAUUUCGCUCCAGAAAAACUCAUCUGAAAAAGGUCAUGCCCCUACAGAGCAAUGGAGACUCCCUUCUCCCCCUCCCCCGGUUUUGGAGGGUGAUUAUCUUUCGUCCAGUUCCCAGAAGUGAAGUGAGGGCGCCAGUGCUUCUCGACCUGUCUGUGCAAACGGCUGUUGCUGAGUCCAGACCAAUUUAGACUGACACCGAGGACAUAUGACAGCAUUGACUUUAUUGAACCCUUGCCAGGAUUAAGACUCACUUCUCAGUAUUUUUAAAAGUGGAUAUGAAAUACGACCACACUAUUCUUUUUGCAAGUUUGGUGGUUUUAUGGUGUGUCAGCUUGGCUGGGUGAACUACACCUCCCAGAAUCCCCUUCCGGGCGUCCUGGGCAGGGCAGUGUGGUAUUGGGAGGGACGAGGGGAUCUCGUGUGAGCCACGGAGGGAGACGCAGGGACAAACGUGGGCUUAUGCGUGUGGCCUUAUCUGCUGCCCUGACUCCAGAGCGUGAGGAUGGCUCCUGGUUCCUCCAUCUCCUCCGGCUUCUGGCUCGAGCAAGCAUGUUGAAGUCCGUGAUGAAUGGCAGAUCCUGAGGACACCCACGGCACCAAGGUCAGAGACAACAGAGGAUGUGGGUUCCGUUCUUCCUCCAUGCUGCCUGCCCUCUGGGUGGUCGGGUCCCUGGAGAGAUGCCUUAAUCU
rnacentral:lncRNA from 1 species